rnacentral:rRNA from 1 species
GUCUUUUUGAGUUUAAUUUAAGGUCUAAUCUGCCCACUGAUAAUAUUUAAGGGCCGCAGUAUUCUGACUGUGCAAAGGUAGCAUAAUCAUUAGUCUUUUAAUUGAGGGCUUGUAUGAAUGAUUGGACGAGAUAUAAUCUGUCUCAUAAAAAUUUAAGUAGAAUUUUAUUUUUUAGUUAAAAAGCUAAAAUAAGUUUAAAAGACGAGAAGACCCUAUAGAUCUUUAUAAUUUAUUUAUUAAUUUUUUUAGGUUAUUUUUUAAUUUUAUAAAUGAAAUUAUUUUGUUGGGGUGACAGUGAAAUUUACAAAACUUUCAUAUUUUUUUUACAUUGAUUUAUGAUAAAUUGAUCCAUUUUUAGUGAUUAAAAAUUUAAGUUACCUUAGGGAUAACAGCGUAAUUAUUUUGGAGAGUUCUUAUCGAUAAAAUAGUUUGCGACCUCGAUGUUGGAUUAAGAUUAAUUCUGGGUGUAGCAGUUCAGGUUAUUAAGUCUGUUCGACUUUUAAUUUCUU